rnacentral:rRNA from 1 species
GACCAGACUCCUACGGGAGGCAGCAGUGGGGAAUAUUGCACAAUGGGGGAAACCCUGAUGCAGCGACGCCGCGUGAGUGAAGAAGUAUUUCGGUAUGUAAAGCUCUAUCAGCAGGGAAGAAGAAGGACGGUACCUGAGUAAGAAGCCCCGGCUAACUACGUGCCAGCAGCCGCGGUAAUACGUAGGGGGCAAGCGUUAUCCGGAUUUACUGGGUGUAAAGGGGGCGCAGACGGCAGCGCAAGCCAGGAGUGAAAGCCCGGGGCCCAACCCCGGGACUGCUCUUGGAACUGCGCGGCUGGAGUGCAGGAGGGGCAGGCGGAAUUCCUGGUGUAGCGGUGAAAUGCGUAGAUAUCAGGAGGAACACCGGUGGCGAAGGCGGCCUGCUGGACUGCAACUGACGUUGAGGCCCGAAAGCGUGGGGAGCGAACAGGAUUAGAUACCCGUGUAU